rnacentral:rRNA from 1 species
AUGAUCGAAAGGCACAGCUGCUCAGACGUUGCCAUCACCCUUAAUUUCCAAAACCAACGAGGCAAAAUCAUUAUUCCGUAUAGUAGGAAUGCAAAAUUGAUCUUCUUAGUACGUGGAACAACAAAAAUCAUACGACCUGGACAGAAAGAGUACAAAACGACCUCUCAUACGCGCUCAGAGAACGUUGGAGGCUUCGGUAGCGUCGGCCUCGUCGGGUGUAGCAGCGCCGCCACGAAUCAUCUCGUCGAAGAAAUCGGUCAGGGCGAUCUCGUACCCAUGCAGCUUGUCGAACCCGGGGAAGUAGUUGAUGUCGAUGAUGAAGUACUGCCCGCCGGCCUUCCUCCCGCGUAUCAUGUCGAAGUUGAACAGCUGCAGCCCGAGCGCGCGCCGCAGCCCGCGCCCGACCUCCUCCACGAACCCGGGCGGCGGCAUCUCGGCGUCGUCGCCCACGUCGUCGUCCGUGUCGGCGUGCACCGUCGUCAGGCUGGACACGUUGUGGAAGGGCACCGACGCGUCGCCCUCCAGGUCCAGCAGCCGCUCCGCCGGCACGUCCGGCAGGCUGCGCCGCCGCACGCACGUGGCGUGCCCGCCGAUCACGUAAAUCUUGAACAGCACGCCGCCGUGGUUCACGAACUCCUGGAGCACGAGCGGGGGCUGCAGCGCCGCGAGGCCCGCGCGGCGGUAGAUGAGAGACAUGGCGUGGGAGCUGACGCUGCCGUCCACGUCCAGCGGCUUGGCGAUGAGCGGGAACUGGAGCGCGCCCACGACGUCCGGGUCGGUGAGCAACGCGGCGUCGUCGAUGGCCACCUGGCGGGGCGCGCCCAGGGAGCCCACGCGGACGGUGGCGUUGAGCUCGGAGACGACGUCGAGCAUGGAGCCGCGGUCGAGCAGGCGGCCGAUGGCGGCGGGAGGGUCGACGACGGGCACCGUGGGGUGGACCGCGGAGAAGGCCUCCAGCUGCGCGCGCCACGACUCGUCGUACAGCUUGUGGAUGAGGAGGUGGAAGGGUCCCUGGUCGACGAGCGGGCGGGAGGGGUCGACGGCGACGAGCCGCAUGCCGCGCUCGGCUGCCAGGGCCACGAGCGACGGCUGGAUGACGGUGUCCAGCUUGGCCGGCUGCAUCGCGUAGCCGAUGGUGUAGGUGUGCGGCGGAGAUCGUGUCGGCGCCGGUGCCUCCUGCUCGGCCGCCAUUCCUCCCAUGAGCUAGCAAGCUUAUCUACACUCUGCUCUGCUCUCUGUCUUUCUUGA